ACUCCUACGGGAGGCAGCAGUGGGGAAUAUUGCACAAUGGGCGCAAGCCUGAUGCAGCCAUGCCGCGUGUGUGAAGAAGGCCUUCGGGUUGUAAAGCACUUUCAGUCGUGAGGAAGGUAGUGUAGUUAAUAGCUGCAUUAUUUGACGUUAGCGACAGAAGAAGCACCGGCUAACUCCGUGCCAGCAGCCGCGGUAAUACGGAGGGUGCGAGCGUUAAUCGGAAUUACUGGGCGUAAAGCGCAUGCAGGUGGUUUGUUAAGUCAGAUGUGAAAGCCCGGGGCUCAACCUCGGAAUAGCAUUUGAAACUGGCAGACUAGAGUACUGUAGAGGGGGUUAGAAUUUCAGGUGUAGCGGUGAAAUGCGUAGAGAUCUGAAGGAAUACCGGU
rnacentral:rRNA from 1 species